rnacentral:misc_RNA from 1 species
UGCCUGCCACUUGACGGAGCGGUCACGCUACCUUAGCGACACCUGCGCCGAGCGGUUACCGGCGCGGGAUGGUGAGGCGGAGGAAGGCACACUUGAGUUCGCGCGGAUGACUGCUAGAUGGCGCAAGCGUCCUCUUCAUUCCUUUACCUUAUGCUGGCUCUGCGCGGCGGUAAUUUAGUGGCCGCCUCUUUUUCGGGUAGUUUGUUGUCAGCGGGCAGAUCAGCUGAUUGGUACUUGAGCAGCUCUAGUGCGGUAUUUACUUGUUACGCUCGGUUUAUGUAUGUUUUCUAUUUGUACUUAGUUUCGCUGGAUUAGGCUAGUACUGGGCUAAUAUUUCUGUUAUCCGUAUAUCCAUUGCUAACGAUUACGUGUAAGGGAUAUGUUCAUGCAUUGCCUUUUAUUUUGCGCGUCCUUAAGUACUUGCGCGUAGCCUCGAUUGGCGACCUCUAGGAAGCGGCCAUGAUCGCUCUUUUGACCGUGAUCCUCCGUCGAGGAUGGAGCUGUGACGCCUGAGCAGAGGCGAUAUCGUCGAAACCGCUACGUUUCGCAUCGUUUCGAGGCAGUGGGAUGACCUUGACCUUGGGUCAUGCGUUGGUCAUGAUCUGGAUCCCCGCGGCCUAAAGUCCAAUACAAGAGAGACGGUGCCAACAGCGCGUUUACGGCAGUCACCCAGAGUGAAGCUCAGGCAGCAAUAGUUUCGACGUCGCCUUCCUGGUGGCUUCGGCUCAGCUGAUCGUCGAUUAUUCUCGUCGCCGGGAGCUACGAAUUGCGAUGCUGGUGUGUGGCCGCCAAUGCGGACGCGGUUGCCUGCCGCCGUGGGGACUGGUUCCAGGACGGAGGUUCCAGCAUCCUAAUGUCCCUGCGGCGGCGGAGGUCCGCGUCUGCUGGCGCCUGCUGUCUGGAGGCAGCUGCUGCUGAUGGCAGCCCUUCGUGCUGGAUCUGGCAGCCUCAAUCAUCAGUGAAGAGGUGCCCAGCUGGAGCUGCCACUCACAGUGCAGCAGUGUGAUCCGGCCCAGCUCACCCAGCAGUAUGAACAGUAUGUACCUGGGGCUUGUGUUCGUGGAGUAAUGUGCAUUGCAGGGAGGCUCUCAGGCUCAGUGCUCAGACAGUUGCAUAGGAUAGUUGACAACCUCAGACGGGUGAACUUAGUUAGUAAGAAUGUGUGCCCUCAUAUGUGUUAUGCUAUGUGUAGCAAUGAGAGAUGAUUGAUGCUGCGGAGUGCUAUAUUAAGUGAGGUACACGUUUGCUCAGUGUUACUGGCUGUUUGUAGGUUAAGAUAAGCAGAGCCUGCAUUUAUUUGAAUAUCCUGUGUUUCCCAUACCCUCUGCCUCACGCCUGAUCAAGUAAUGGAUCUUGACAAGCUGUCGAAAGAGGAGCUGGUCAGUGAGCUGAGUAGACGAGGGGAGGAUGUGAGAGGAAGGAAGCCAGUCCUGCUGGAGAGGUUGCGUGAGAUCUUGAAAGAGGAGCAAUACCAGAGUCAGGGAGCCAUGAGUCAAGCCAAAGAAGAGAAAGACAACCUACAGGAAGAACAUGAGCCAAAGAAGGUAGAUGACGACAAGGGUGUUGAGACACAAUCAGGAUUUGAAGGUGGAGAUGCCACAAGUGACAGGCCUGCCUCAAGUGUCAGAACGGCAGCCAGCAUGGCCUCUGCCCGGGCCAUGGAAAGAGCGAAGCUGGCUGGGCUCUCUGCGAAGAGGCAAGCUCUGAAAAAGAAGCACCUACUUGAAGCACAGGAAGCCGAGCUUCGUCGAAUGAGGGAAGAGGUUGAGCUUCAAGCUGAGAUUGAGGAGUGUGAAGCCCGAGAGAAGGUGUUUGAAGAAAUGAUGACUGAAGCACAGAUGGAGCAGAUGAUGUUGCAGCCACUUGAAACCUCGUCUCAUCCGUUGGAGAAGGAGCCCAAGGCUGUACUUCAGCUACAGGAAGUUGCAACAAAGCCGCAAGUAACUGUGCAAACAGGGCUAAAAGAAGUUGCAGCAAAGCCGCAAGUAACUGUGAAAACAGGGCAAAAAGAAGUUGCAACAAAGCCGCAAGUAACUGUGCAAGCAGGGCAAAAGGAAGUUGUAGCAAAGCUGAUGGAAGUAACUGUGCCAAAGUUGCAAGGAGCUGCAGCUCAACGACAAGAAAAGAAGUCAAAUGCUGCAUCUCUGUUGCAGGAAGUUGCAGAAAGGCCACAAGAUGCGGCACAAGCAAGGACUGCAUCACACAAGCAAGAGGUGAUUGCAAGGUCACAAGAAUCUGCCUAUUCACAUGAAGCAACAGAGCCCAUGAGACAUGACAUCAGAAUGGCAAGAAGGCUCCAGCUGCCUGCACUUGACCUGACUGUGUUCAAGGGAGAUUCUUCAAAGUACAAGCCAUUCUUGAAAGCCUUCGAGGCGAACAUUGCAAGUAAUGUGGAUUCGGAGGCAGAGAAGCUGUUGUACCUGCUCAAGUUCACGCAAGGAAAACCACAUGAUAUUGUGCAGACAUGUGUCCACCUGCCAGAAGAAAGGGGCUACUUGCAAGCAGUCGAACUGCUGAACAGCAGGUACGACACUGGGGUUUAUGCAGUGACCAGUCUGAUCACCCAGAUGCAGAACCUGCCAGCUCUUCGGGCAGAUGAUGCGGAAGCUCUGGAUGACCUCAGCAUUUUCCUGAGAGGAUGUUUGAAUGCCCUUGAGACCCAGCCUCAUGGCUUGCGCUCGGUUGAUCCUAAAACCAUCUGCAAGCUGCUUGAGAAGCUGCCCCACCACAUGAUUGAGAAGUGGAGACGACUGGUGGAUGACAUCGAGCACGUGGAGAGACGCCAGGCGAACUUCAGAGACCUGGUUGGGUACAUUGAGAAGGAGGCUAGGAUAGCCAUGAACCCAUCCUAUGGACGACAGGUCCUGGGAUCAAGUGGAAGGCCCAGACUUCAUGAAGCCAGGAAGACAGAGCCACGGGCUGUCAGGAAGACAGCUGUGGGCAAGACCCUAGCUGGGAGCAUCCAGUCUGUGGGCAAUCCAAUGAAGUGCUACUUCUGUGAGGGAAUGCACAAGACCGAAUCCUGCAAGAAACUCCAACAGAAGACACCAGAGGAAAGAACCACAUUUGUUAAGCAGAAUGGCCUCUGCUUUGCUUGUUUGCAGCAUGGGCAUCGAUCCAGAUUCUGCAAAGAAAGAAGAAACUGUGAGAAGUGUGGAAGAAGCCAUCCGACAGUGCUCCACAUUGACAAGCCAGAGAGCCCUACAGUGACUUCGGGCCACCUGGCACCCAGCAGGACAGGAGGCGGCAAGCUGCAGGUUCUCAAGGUACAGGUAUGCUUUGGUGACCUCAAAGUGACCACAAAUGCCUUUCUCGACAGCGGAAGCACGCACUCCUUCAUAUCGAGUCAUCUGCUGGAUGAGCUGGGAUUGAAGCAGCAGAAGAGGACCUCGCUCAAGGUGUCUACCAUCAGUGGAGAGCAGACAAUGAACAGCAGCAUCAUCCCUGGACUGCUCAUUGAAGACCUGGACCAAGGCAAUGUUAUGGAGCUGCCCCCGUUGUAUGUUCUGAGCCGCAUCCCUGUCGUGACUGAUGAUGUGCCUUCCCAGGAAGACAUGCAGAGAUGGACGUAUCUGCAAGAAGCCGGUGUGACCCUGAGGACGAUGGACGCUGGAGAAGAGGUCGGUCUCCUGAUUGGAGGCAAUGCAGGCGGCGUGAUGGAACCGCUGCAAGUCUGCCCCAGCCAACACGGAGGACCGCACGCGAUCCUGACCAGGUUCGGCUGGAUCCUGGGCGGACUGAAGAACGAGAGAGGCAGAUGUCAAGUGAAUCGCAUCAAAGUAGACAUGAAUGACCAGAUGUCUGAAGAAUGGUUUGAAAACAGAGCUGAGACAAGAAAAGGGCUUUCAAUAGAAGAUCUCAGGUGGUGCAACCAAAUGGAAAACGGCUGUAUCAAGAAAGAGAAGUACGAGAUCACACUGCCAUUUCGGGACCAGACGCCUCCUCUCGAGAACAACCGAAGUGUGGCAGAGGGGCGCCUGGAACUGCUGAAGAGGAAGUUGAACAAGGACGAGAAGUACGCGGAGGAGUACAUCGCUCGUAUGAACAAACUUCUCGAAGAUGGGCAUGCUGAAGUGGCACCUGAGGCUGCAGACGACUCAAGGAGGUGGUACCUUCCCCACUUUGCGGUGAGGCACCCGACGAAGGACAAUCUUCGCGUCGUCUUCGAUUGUGCAAGCAAGUAUCGAGGCACCAGUCUCAACGAUACGCUGCUCCAGGGCCCCGACCUGACCACCCCGUUGGUGGACGUUCUGAUUCGUUUUCGUCUUAACCCUUGCGCAUUCACCGGAGACAUUGAAGCCAUGUUUCUGCAGGUCUCCGUUCCAGAAAGUCAGAGGGAUUACCUGAGGUUCCUGUGGUGGCCGGAAGGAGUUACCAGCAAGCCUGCUCGCGAGUACCGGAUGAAGGUCCACCUGUUCGGAGCGACAUCAUCGCCCAGCUGCGCCAACCUCGCGCUCCACCGCGCAGCGGAAGACAACAAGUCCCUGUCAAAGGAAGCAAGCAAGACGAUACGAAGUAACUUUUAUGUUGACGACGUCCUUAAGUCUGUGCAGGACGACGAAGCUGCCAUCAAGCUGCUGAAAGAGCUGAAGGAAAUGUGUGCUCUUGGGGGAUUUAAGCUGACGAAGUUCAACAGCAACAGUGUCAAAGUCCUUCAAUCGGUUCCUCAACCGGAGAGAAGCAAGCAGGUGAAGGAUCUGGUCCUCGGCUCUGACCCCUUACCGACAGAGCGCGCACUUGGAGUUGUAUGGGAUCCGAACACAGACACCAUCGGCUUCAGCGUGGACAUGAAGAAGCUGAAUCAGAAGCCGGCCACGAGGAGAGGAUAUCUGUCUGCUGCAGCUUCUUGCUACGAUCCUCUCGGGCUGGUCGCUCCCUGCGUUGUCAGGGCUCGGAUGGUCGUCCAGAAGCUGCAUCGACUUGGCGGGAGCUGGGAUGAAGAAGUCCCGGAGAGUCUGAGAAGGGAGUGGGAAGAAUGGCUGCGGGACCUGAGCCACCUGUCGCUCCUGAAGAUCCCAAGAUGUCUCUCACCUCUGGGGCUCGACGCGGCGCUUGCUGCCGGAGACAAGAUCCAGCUUCAUCUCUUCGCUGAUGCCAGUACGUCAGCGUACGGGGUUGUGACCUAUGUAUGUUGUGUCGACGAGGAGACUGACCACGCCAGUUGCAGGAUUCUGUUUAGCCGGGCGCGACUGGCGCCGAUGAGACAGCUCAGCGUUCCCCGUCUGGAGCUAGCUGCGGCGACGCUCGCCGUGAGGAGCAGCGUGGACCUGCGGAGAGCUUUGGACGUGGACGUGGACGUGCACUUCUGGACGGAUAGCACAACCGUCCUCAAAUACAUCAGAAAUGAGAAGACAAGGUUUCCUGUGUUCGUCGCGAACCGCCUCUCAGUGAUUCACGAUGGCUCGACGGUCGAACAGUGGCACUAUGUGCCGAGUGAGUUGAACCCAGCGGACCUCGUGUCACGCGGGAUGAAGGCCUCAUCUCUCAUCAACAGCGACCUCUGGAAGUUCGGGCCCAGUUUCCUGAAAGAGGCACAGUGGCCUGUAAACCCCGAUGAUGAAGAAUGUGUGCACGAUGCCGAUCAGGAGGACGUAAGGGUUGCUGCGAUGAAGACGGGCGAGGAGUCGUCACCCAUGGAGAAGCUGACUCGGCACUACUCGUCCUGGAGACGCCUGGUCAGGGCCGUUGCCCUGCUUCGUCGGUUGGUUCGUCGGUGGAAGAAUGCUACUCGCGGUGCGACACUCAAAGCGUGCCUGACUGUUGCGGAGCUGAAGGCAGCUGAGAGUGCCAUCAUCCGAGACAUACAAGCUCGGCACUUCAGUGAGGAGCUCUGUGACCUGAAGACAGGGAAACCUGUGCGCAAGUCGAGCAAGCUGGCGCGUCUGGAUCCAUGGCUGGACGGAGACAUGAUUCGAGUUGGUGGUCGACUGAGCCAGAGUGCUCUCCCAUUCGAUUCGAAGCAUCCUAAGAUUCUUCCAAAACGAGAUCCUGCGGUGGAUUUGAUCGUCACUGCAGCCCACGAACAAGCGGGACAUGAAGGGAGACAGCAUGUUCUGUCGGACCUCAGGGCAUCCUACUGGAUACUGGGAGCCAACGCGGCGGUGCGUCGCUGCCUCAGUCGCUGCGUCAGCUGCAAGAAACGCUUGAAGCAGCCGGAGCAUCAGAAGAUGGCAGAUCUUCCUGAAGAGCGAACGGAAGUUGGCGGGAAAGCGUUCGCCCACACUGGAGUGGAUUACUUCGGUCCUUUUUUCGUGAAGCAUGGUCGAUCUCAGGUUAAGAAGUAUGGCGUCGUGUUCACCUGCUUGACAAUACGCGCCGUUCACUUGGAAGUCGCUGACAGUUUGUCUACAGAUUCCUUCCUCUGUGCCCUCCGACGUUUUGUGGCACGUCGCGGAGGCGUGCAGUCUCUUCGAUCGGAUCAGGGGACAAACUUUAUCGGAGCGGAGAAGGAACUUAAGGAAGAACUCAAGAAGCUGAAAGAGCGUGACGGUGAGAUCCGGGAAGCAGCCCUCCAUCUGGGCAUCGACUGGCGCUUUCAUCCGCCUCACGCCUCUCACUUCGGUGGCGUGUGGGAGCGCCAGAUCCGCACCAUUAGGAAGAUUCUCACCAGUCUACUCACUCAACAGACCUUUUCACAUGAGACUCUGCAGACCAUGCUGUGCGAGGUGGAGGCGAUAAUCAAUAACCGCCCGCUGACACCCUUUUCAACUGACGCCUUUGACCAGCCGCCUCUAACCCCGAACCACCUCCUGCUUCUCCGGAGUGUCGUGUUUCCUCCGUCGUCUGCAGAGUGGGACCACCGGAGAAGUUGGAAGCAGGCUGGUUACCUCGCGGAGCAGUUCUGGCGGAGGUGGAGAACUGAAUAUCUCCCUCUGCUGCAAGAGCGAGGCGGACGGACAACGAGAAGUCGUGUCAACAUCAAGAAGGGAGAUAUCGUCCUGAUGGUAGACGACACUGUGCCUCGUGGAGUGUGGCCACUGGGCCGCAUAGAAGACGCCUUCACGAGCGCUGAUGGACGGGUGCGCUCUGUCAGGAUUCGCGCCCGCGGCUCCUUCUACGUGAGGCCGGUCACCAAGGUGGUGAAGAUUGUUUGAAGAAGUUUAAGUUUGUUUUGACUGAGACGUCAAAAAGGGGCGGGUGUUGAUGCCUGCCACUUGACGGAGCGGUCACGCUACCUUAGCGACACCUGCGCCGAGCGGUUACCGGCGCGGGAUGGUGAGGCGGAGGAAGGCACACUUGAGUUCGCGCGGAUGACUGCUAGAUGGCGCAAGCGUCCUCUUCAUUCCUUUACCUUAUGCUGGCUCUGCGCGGCGGUAAUUUAGUGGCCGCCUCUUUUUCGGGUAGUUUGUUGUCAGCGGGCAGAUCAGCUGAUUGGUACUUGAGCAGCUCUAGUGCGGUAUUUACUUGUUACGCUCGGUUUAUGUAUGUUUUCUAUUUGUACUUAGUUUCGCUGGAUUAGGCUAGUACUGGGCUAAUAUUUCUGUUAUCCGUAUAUCCAUUGCUAACGAUUACGUGUAAGGGAUAUGUUCAUGCAUUGCCUUUUAUUUUGCGCGUCCUUAAGUACUUGCGCGUAGCCUCGAUUGGCGACCUCUAGGAAGCGGCCAUGAUCGCUCUUUUGACCGUGAUCCUCCGUCGAGGAUGGAGCUGUGACGCCUGAGCAGAGGCGAUAUCGUCGAAACCGCUACGUUUCGCAUCGUUUCGAGGCAGUGGGAUGACCUUGACCUUGGGUCAUGCGUUGGUCAUGAUCUGGAUCCCCGCGGCCUAAAGUCCAAUACAAGAGAGACGGUGCCAA